rnacentral:rRNA from 1 species
GACAGAGGGUGCAAACGUUGUUCGGAAUUACUGGGCGUAAAGCGAGUGUAGGCGGUCUCAAAAGUCGGGUGUGAAAGCCCUGGGCUCAACCCAGGAAGUGCACUCGAAACUGCGAGGCUAGAGUAUCGGAGAGGUUGGUGGAAUUCUCGGUGUAGAGGUGAAAUUCGUAGAUAUCGAGAGGAACACCGGUGGCGAAGGCGGUCAACUGGACGAAUACUGACGCUGAGACUCGAAAGCGUGGGGAGCAAACAGG